rnacentral:misc_RNA from 1 species
GAUGAAGAACGCAUCGAAAUGCGAUAAGUAAUGUGAAUUGCAGAAUUCAGUGAAUCAUCGAAUCUUUGAACGCACAUUGCGCCCGCCAGUAUUCUGGCGGGCAUGCCUGUUCGAGCGUCAUUUCAACCCUCAAGACCCCUUCGGGGGACUUGGUGUUGGGGACCGGCACAGGGGCCUGCCUGCUUGUCUUGCAGCGCCCUCGCCGCCCCCGAAAUGAAUUGGCGGCCUCGUCGCGGCCUCCCCUGCGUAGUAGCACAAACCUCGCAACGGGAACGUGACGGCGGCCACUGCCGUAAAACAACCCAAUUUUAUUAGAGUUGACCUCGAAUCAGGUAGGAAUACCCGCUGAACUUAAGCAUAUCAAUAAGCGGAGGA